rnacentral:rRNA from 1 species
UACGAAGGUCCCAAGCGUUAUCCGGAUUUAUUGGGUUUAAAGGGUGCGUAGGCGGGUUAUUAAGUCAGUGGUGAAAGCUCCAUGCCUAACAUGGAAAUUGCCCAUUGAUACUGAUGAUCUUGAGUACAUUUGAAGUGGGCGGAAUGUGUCAUGUAGUGGUGAAAUACUUAGAUAUGACACAGAACACCGAUUGCGUAGGCAGCUCACUAAACUGUAACUGACGCUGAGGCACGAAAGCGUGGGGAGCAAACAGG